rnacentral:lncRNA from 1 species
AUGGAUGAGUCUAAAUUUUUUCCUAUCAUUUAUCUUCAGCAAAUACAUUUUAGGUAUUCAACAAGUAAUUUGACUAAUGGAUAUAUUCCAAUGUUUCUCUUUCAGUUUGUUCUCAGAAAAUUGGUUAGGAAUUCAUCCACUGCCCACAUACCCAUAAGAAACAAAGAAAAUAAAAGAUACAGAAGAAAAUUGAGCUCUUUGGAUGCAUUUAAGAAAAUGUAUGGCAAUCGUGGGACAAGAUCCUAGAGAGAAGCGAAGCACAUUGAGAUGACUCCUACAGGAAAGCCACUGAUUUUCCUCUUGAGAACUUGCUGAUUCAGAUUGUGGGACAUAGAGUUGCAUGGGGCUGCCUGGAGCUUAAAAUGGUCUUUCUCUGCCAGGAAAACCAAAACUGGAGGUUCAGCUUCCCAGGUCAGCCAUGAAAUGAGGGACCAAUAUCUGGAAGAAAGGGAGCCACGGGAAUAUCUAAGGCAAAAUGCAAUAACUGAAAUCAAGAAUUUAAUGAUAUGUUUAAUAGUAAACUAGACAAAGCAAAGAGGAGGAUGAAUGAAUUACAACGCAAGUUAGCAAAAAAAAUGGUCAGACUAAAACACAGAGAAAAAAGGACUGGGAAAACAGAACAGAAGACAAGAGCCACAUGAGACAUUGUAAAAUGAUCUGCUGUAACUGGAAUCACAGAAUAGAAAUCAGACACCAAUAUAAUUAUGUCUUAAAAUGUUGAAGUAAUAUGUUUUCAAUCCUAGAAUUAUAUAUCUAGUUAAAAUAUCCUUUUAAAAAUGAAGGUGAAAAAAAGGUAGAUCAAACAAAAGCUGAGAGAAUUGGUCAUCAACUGAUACACACUAAGAGAAAUACUAAAGAUAGCUUUUCAAGGAGUUCCCGUCGUGGCGCAAAGGAAACGAAUCUGACUAGGAUCCAUGAGGAUACAGGUUCAAUCCCUGGCCUCUCUCAGUGGGUUAAGGAUCUGGAGUUGCCAUGAGCUGUGGUGUAAGUUGCAGACACAGCUCUGAUCUGGUAUUGCUGUGGCUGUGGUUGUAGGCCAGCUACAGCUCUGAUUCAACCCCUAGCCUGGGAAUCUCCAUAUGCCAUGGGUACAGACCUAAAAAGCAAAAGCAAAAAGAUAGCUUUUCAGUCAGAAGAAAUAAGAUUGCAGAUGAAAGCACCAGAAAGCAGGAAAACAGAGUUGCCAUUGUGGUUUAGUGGAAACAAAUCUGACUACUACCCGUGAGGUUUUGGGUUCGAUCCUUGG